rnacentral:rRNA from 1 species
UACGUAGGGUGCAAGCGUUAAUCGGAAUUACUGGGCGUAAAGCGUGCGCAGGCGGCUUUGCAAGACAGAUGUGAAAGCCCCGGGCUUAACCCGGGAAUUGCUUUUAAAACUCCAUGACUAGAGUAUUGGAGAGGUUGGCGGAAUUCCGAGUGUAGAGGUGAAAUUCGCAGAUAUUCGGAGGAACACCAAUGGCGUAGGCAGCCAACUGGACAAUUACUGACGCUGAGGCGCGAAAGCGUGGGGAGCAAACAGG